rnacentral:tRNA from 1 species
GGAGGGGUGUGCCGAACGGUAAGGCACCGGUCUCGAAAACCGGCGUCCGCAAGGACUUGCGAGUUCGAAUCUCGCCCCCUCCG